AUAGACUUGCUUUGUUUAAUUACCAUUCACAGACUGUUUAAUAAGGGCCCAGAGACCUCAGGAACCACCAAGAGCCAGAGGCUGACAACCACCGAAUAUCUCCGUAGGAAGAAGAAAGAGGAACCAUGUCUGCUUGCUCCUGUGACCAUGAUGCCUCCAAAGAACAGCAGUCCGAGGGACGAUGUCCCAUUUCCUUUUGGUGCCAGACCAUCACUCCCAUGAAGACCUGUGCCAGAAGCUCCUAGGAGGCUCCUGCCCCUGCUCCACAUGGCAGGCAGCUGAAAUGCCCAAUAGAUGGAUCACAUUCUCCUGGCCAGGAAGACCUUCCUCACUGGAGACCUCAACAAUGGUGCUCACACGUCAGCCCUGAGCAUUGCUCCGGACACCGUAAGAUGUCAGCACAGAUGGAACAGCACUGUCCAGGGUACUUCAUGUUGUUCAGAAAUGACCCACAGCCAAGCAAGCUGAGAAGGCUGUCAUUAUUUAGUGCCUGAACUCUAAAGCGGGUUCAGAGCCGACAGUGUAGCUAAUGAUGGGAAGUGGUUAAUGAUGGGUCAAUGAUGGGAUAUGACUAAUGAAGGGGAAAGGAUUGCAGAACUGCAAAGUCACUGAGUGCACCGCACAGCAGAUAAAAACUCUCUAAGUCCUUGUAACCCCAAGCCUUACAGCCACCUUUUCGCCGUCCCACUCCCCUUCCUGGUAGCACAACAAGAAUUUCCAAAUCACCCAUGGCAGGACCUUGCAAAGCUGCAGCUCCCACCACGAGGGUUCAGGCUGACUGCACAUGCCACCUCUGACACCCAGCUUCUGCCUGCUCCACAGGAUGUCAGAAAUGUACUGGGAUGUCCCCCAAGCAAGGACAGCAAUCCCAUCACUUCUUUCCAAAAAAGGAGUUCUGUGCUUUCUACAGACUGUUAACUGCAUUACAGGAGUGAGUCAGUGCCAUAAAAUGCAAGUAAUGAAUUAUACCAUCAUCAUCCUCAUCAUCACUGUUAUUAUUUUUAUUCUUUCCUUUUGAAGAAAAAAAGGAAUUAAAGGAAAUAUGGGGUUUGGUUGGAAAAAUGGGGAGAAGGAAGGAAACUAUACUCCACAUAGAGGAGAAGGGUACAAAACCAUUGUGCAGAAUUUAGAUCUAGUUGUCUACAGGAUUGUAUUUGACAGUGUUCAGAGGGUUCGGUCCAGGGUUUAUGAAACCAUGUGGCUUCCUUUACUUUUGAAUGUUCCUUUCAUCCCCUCAAUAUGCCAACUAUAAGUAUGGAGCGAUCAGGCAGAGAUCAGGCACAGGUCGUAAAGUAUUCACUUCUUAGCAGUGUCAGUAUUACUUCAAAUAAGGUAUUUGAUUUCUAGUUCAAAAUUGAAAUGAAGGUACUUUUUCUGAGUAUUCCCACACCUGUUUUACAACUCUUUGUUUCGUAUUUGUCUUUUCAUUUGUAGGAAUGAACACAAUAACAGCAAAAAGAGUCUCUGGCAUGUCACUACUGCAAUAUGCGCACCUUGAGUACCACUGGUAACCUGUUGGCUCUCCUGAUUAACAGCUAGCAAUGAUCA